rnacentral:rRNA from 1 species
AGUCGUGCGCGAAAGCCUUCGGGCGAGUAAAGCGGCGAACGGGUGAGUAACACGUAAUCAACCUACCCUCGAGACCGGAAUAACCACUGGAAACGGUGGGCAAUGCCGGAUGGCCUCGACAGUCGGCAUCGACAGUCGAGUAAACGGCGGCUUCGGCUGCUGCUCGGGGAGGGGAUUGCGGCCUAUCAGCUUGUUGGUGGGGUAACGGCCUACCAAGGCAAUGACGGGUAGCUGGUCUGAGAGGACGACCAGUCACACUGGGACUGAGACACUGCCCAGACUCCUACGGGAGGCUGCAGUCGAGAAUCUUCCGCAAUGGGCGAAAGCCUGACGGAGCGACACCGCGUGCAGGAUGAAGGCCUUCGGGUUGUGAACUGCUGUCACGCCAUAGGAAAGCCCUGUCGUUAAUAGCUGCAGGGUUGACCAAAGCGAAAGGAAGCACCGGCUAACUCCGUGCCAGCAGCCGCGGUAAGACGGAGGGUGCGAACGUUGUUCGGAAUCACUGGGCAUAAAGCGCACGUAGGCGGUUUGCUAAGUCAGGUGUGAAAGCCCCCGGCUCAACCGGGGAAUUGCAUCUGAUACUGGCAGACUUGAGGACGGUUGGGGUGAGUGGAACUCCUGGUGGAGCGGUGAAAUGCGUAGAUAUCAGGAGGAACACCAGUGGCGAAAGCGGCUCACUGGACCGUCUCUGACGCUGAGGUGCGAAAGCUAGGGUAGCGAACGGGAUUAGAUACCCCGGUAGUCCUAGCCGUAAACGAUGGGCACUAGGUAGGGGGGAUGCCUAUGGUCUUCCCUGCCGUAGCAAAUGCAUUAAGUGCCCCGCCU